rnacentral:rRNA from 1 species
AACGAACGCUGGCGGCAGGCUUAACACAUGCAAGUCGAACGCCCCGCAAGGGGAGUGGCAGACGGGUGAGUAACGCGUGGGAACGUGCCCUUCGCUUCGGAAUAGCCCCGGGAAACUGGGAGUAAUACCGAAUACGCCGUAUUGGGAAAGAUUUAUCGGCGAAGGAUCGGCCCGCGUUAGAUUAGCUAGUUGGCGGUGUAAUGGACCACCAAGGCUACGAUCUAUAGCUGGUCUGAGAGGAUGAUCAGCAACACUGGGACUGAGACACGGCCCAGACUCCUACGGGAGGCAGCAGUGGGGAAUCUUGGACAAUGGGCGCAAGCCUGAUCCAGCCAUGCCGCGUGAGUGAAGAAGGCCUUAGGGUUGUAAAACUCUUUCGCCGGAGAAGAUAAUGACGGUAUCCGGAGAAGAAGCCCCGGCUAACUUCGUGCCAGCAGCCGCCGUAAUAC